AUACGGAGGGUGCAAGCGUUACUCGGAAUCACUGGGCGUAAAGCGCGCGCAGGCGGUCUUUUAAGUUGGAUGUGAAAGCCUACGGCUCAACCGUAGAACUGCAUCCAAAACUAUUAGACUAGAGUGUGGGAGAGGAAGAUGGAAUUAGUUGUGUAGGGGUAAAAUCCGUAGAGAUAACUAGGAAUACCAAAAGCGAAGGCAAUCUUCUGGAACACUACUGAUGCUGAGGCGCGAAAGCGUGGGGAGCAAACAGGAUUAGAAACCCCAGUAGUCC
rnacentral:rRNA from 1 species